UACGAAGGGGGCUAGCGUUGUUCGGAAUUACUGGGCGUAAAGCGCGCGCAGGCGGCUAUCCAAGUCAGUGGUGAAAGCCCGGAGCUCAACUCCGGAACUGCCAUUGAACUGUUUAAGCUUGAGGACGAGAGAGGUGAGUGGAAUUCCCAGUGUAGAGGUGAAAUUCGUAGAUAUUGGGAAGAACACCGGUGGCGAAGGCGGCUCACUGGCUCGUAUCUGACGCUCAGGCGCGACAGCGUGGGGAUCAAACAGG
rnacentral:rRNA from 1 species